UUUCGCAUUCGGAUUGUUAUCGACAAUCGCAUUGCCGACUGCGUGCAAUAAGUGCGUUUUACCAAGGCCAGUACCACCGUA
rnacentral:antisense_RNA from 1 species